rfam:Faecalibacterium sp. CAG:82 genomic scaffold, scf6
AAAUCGGCUUUGACGAGAAGAGUACACCCCGUCCGCACCUGACAGAAAGCCCGGAGGAUGGAAGCGGGCAGGCCGCGCGGAGUGGAAGAUGGUCUCUGAGCCGCGCGGGCGAAGGGGAGUUUUCUCCUCCAGCCUGCGACGGGUGCGCCCGUUACCGCGCCGCGCUGGUACAUUAUUGAUAUGCCAGCGCGCAAGGCUCUGCCUGCAAAGGCCGGGCGAACCAAGGUGGUACCACGAAAGCAAUGCUCUCGUCCUUGGC